AAUUGUGAUGAGGACAAUCUCUGAGCAUCCCUUUGAAUCUCUCCCAAGCUGAAUAUAGAUACUCCUCUGAUUUCUGUUUGAAGGCGACUAUCUCACUUCUGAUCU
rfam:Nicotiana attenuata strain TT chromosome 12, whole genome shotgun sequence.